AGAUAAGGUCCACAAUCUUUCCCCCUUUCAUUGCCUCUCAAUUUCCCUCCUGUCUUGUAUCCUCAAACUGUCAAACAUCAGCCUCCACCUUUUAACAUCCGUGUAAUCUCAAUUUUAUGUCCAAAAGGGCAAAAGGAAAAGACGAAACGCUAAAAAGAAUUAAAGGGUGCAAGAAAUUCAAAUGCAACAAUUUUUUUGUGGUAUUAUUAUUUCAUCCACUCAAUUCAUUGGUGUUUUUGCAAAACACGAAUCCCAUCUCUAAUUUUGGAUUGUACUUCGUACUUCCACUUCAACUUCAACUCCUCUUCUUUCUCAAAACAAAAAAGAUACCAACUUUAAUGCCAAAUUGACAACAAAAUCAGUUCUUUUCUGCCUCGGGUCAAUUCAAAGUAUUCAACUUGCUUAAGUUGAGGAUGAUUUUUGUCUGGGGAAGAUGAUGAUUUGAGCAAUUCCCUGGAGUGGGUUCUUGAUUUCUGGGGGACAUUUUGUGGUUUUAGCAAGUAAAUUGAGCUGAGGAUGAUGUCAAUGACAUGCCAUAAUCUUGAAUUUGUGAGGACAAGGUUGGAUUUUGUGGCUUGUGGUUGCUUUUCCAGUUCAUCAUUUGACAGGCUCCAUGUAAAGGAUUCUAAAAAGGGAUUGCUUAGAAGUGUCCAUAGAGGCUAUAAAGCUCGGAAAUUGCAGUGUUGCCGCCGGGAUGUUGGCCGGUGCCGUGUCUUCUCAACUAAGACCCCGGAGGCUUUACUCGGUGGCGUGGUUCCAGGUCCUCCUCCAGCAUUGGAUUUGAUGAGAGAGUCGACAAGCCCUAUUUCACUUCCACACUUGUUUGAAGCUGUUGCUGAUGAUCUUCAAACAUUGAACAAAAAUUUACUUUCAAUUGUUGGUGCAGAAAACCCCGUUUUGAUGGCAGCUGCAAAGCAGAUUUUUGGUGCUGGUGGCAAGAGGAUGAGACCUGCACUAGUUUUCUUAGUGUCACGAGCCACUGCUGAAAUUGCUGGUUUGAAGUGAGCUUCAUGUGGUUGUUUCUGUUAAAGCAUUCAUCCUGUGAGAUCAUUGAAAUGAUCCACACGGCAAGUUUGAUUCAUGAUGAUGUGUUAGAUGAAAGUGACAUGAGAAGAGGGAAGGAAACUGUUCAUCAAUUAUAUGGUACUAGAGUGGCUGUGCUGGCUGGAGAUUUCAUGUUUGCACAAUCAUCAUGGUACCUGGCUAACCUUGAGAACAUUGAGGUCAUCAAGCUCAUCAGUCAGGUUAUUAAAGACUUUGCAAGCGGUGAAAUAAAGCAGGCAUCCAGCUUAUUUGACUGUGAUGUUGAACUUGACGAGUACUUAAUCAAGAGUUACUACAAAACAGCCUCCUUGAUUUCUGCAAGCACCAAAGGUGCAGCCAUUUUUAGUGGGGUUGACAGUGAUGCUUGUGAGAGUAUGUACCAAUAUGGCAAGAACCUCGGUCUAUCCUUUCAAGUUGUUGAUGAUGUAUUGGACUUUACUCAAUCUGCUGAGCAGCUGGGGAAACCAGCAGGAAGUGACUUGGCAAAAGGAAAUCUGACUGCUCCAGUAAUUUUUGCACUGGAGAAAGAGUCAAAACUAAGGGAUAUGAUUGAAUCUGAAUUUUGUGAAGCUGGAUCUCUCGAGGAAGCCAUUAAUGUGGUAAAGAGCUCUGGAGGCAUUGAGAGAGCACAAGAGUUGGCAAAAGAGAAAGGCGAUCUCGCAAUCCAAAAUCUGCAAUGCCUACCGUCUAGUCCCUACCGACUUGCUCUGGAGGAAUUUGUAAAAUACAAUCUUAAACGUAUUGCAUAAAUGGAUAUAUCUUUGACACUAAAGGCUAAAUCUAGACGUCUUGUCUUCUACAUUCUUUACGGGAAUUUGUUCGAGCCAAGUGAAGGGGUGGUCAAGGAGGAUCCUGUUUUGACUGCUGGUUGCUUCUCCGUUGAAUAGAUUUUAUCAAGGAGAAGCUGUUGUAUGCUGUAAAAGAUUCCCAGCCAUCACUUGAGCUCUUAUUCCAGCGAGUUCCACUUUCUUGGGGGCAUAUUGGCGGGCAGACUGAUCUGAAAUUGCCUUGUGAUUGUACGCUAAAGGGUAGCCUCAUACUUAAUACUCAGCAACACUCUUUCUGAGUCCAUUGUUCACUGUUUAUUUCUUCACCUUUUCCCCUCGUCCCUCUUGUUAGGAGAAAGGUAUAGGCUAUGUAUCUCAAUUAGACAGCAGUGAAUUUAAACUUGGAACUUUCAUCUCGCUAAAGUACAAGUACAUUAUCCUGCCUCAGCCAAUGGAAUUCUUGUUAACUAUGUUGAUCUUCUUUGAAAUUUGUUACCAUAUGAUCUUGCAAAUUUUAAACCA